rnacentral:rRNA from 1 species
CCUACGGGGGGCAGCAGUCGAGAAUCAUUCACAAUGGGGGAAACCCUGAUGGUGCGACGCCGCGUGGGGGAACGAAGGUCUUCGGUUUGUAAACCCCUGUCAUGUGGGAGCAAAUUAAAAAGAUAGUACCACAAGAGGAAGAGACGGCUAACUCUGUGCCAGCAGCCGCGGUAAUACGGAGGUCUCAAGCGUUGUUCGGAAUCACUGGGCGUAAGGCGUGCGUAGGCGGUUACGUAAGUCGUGUGUGAAAGGCGUGGGCUCAACCCGCGGCCGGCAUAUGAUACUGCGAGACUAGAGUAAAGGAGAGGGAAGCGGAAUUCUCGGUGUAGCAGUGAAAUGCGUAGAUAUCGAGAGGAACACUCGUGGCGAAGGCGGGUUCCUGGACAUUAACUGACGCUGAGGCACGAAGGCCAGGGGAGCGAAAGGGAUUAGAUACCCUAGUAGUC